UCCAGGAUGGCCGAAUGGUUAUGGCAUCAGACUUGUUAAGUUGGGGAUUGUGCAGGUUCGAAUCCUGCUCCUGGGC